UCCUGCGGGAAGGCCGAGCCGGCAUGGGCGAGAGCACCAGCCCCAUCAGCGUGAUCCUGGUGAGCUCGGGCAGCCGCGGCAACAAGCUGCUGUUCCGCUUCCCGUUCCAGCGCGGCGCCGAGCACCCCGCCGCGCAGGACAACAAACCAAGGAGUCGAUAUGCUGUGAAUGGCUCUGGUGACACCACAGAAGAUCAAGAUGGGGACUCCAGAGACCAAUGUCCUCUAACUGAUGAGCAAUUGGUUUCAGGGUUUUCAGAUGUCAUCCUGGCAACAAUUUUGGCUACCAAGUCAGAUAUGUGUGGCAAAAAGUUUGAAUUGAAGAUUGAUAAUGUUCGCUUUGUUGGCCAUCCCACCUUGCUCCAGCAUGCCCUUGGGCAGGUAUCCAAAACUGACCCCUCACCAAAGAGAGAGAUGCCCACCAUGAUUCUGUUCAACGUGGUGUUUGCACUAAGGGCCAACGCGGACCCGUCGGUGAUCAGCUGCCUGCACAACCUGUCGCGCAGGAUCGCCAUCGUCCUGCAGCACGAGGAGCGCCGCUGCCAGUACCUGACCCGCGAGGCCAAGCUCAUCCUGGCCAUCCAGGACGAGGUGUCUGCCAUGGCAGAGAGUGAGUGCCUUCAGCAGCUGGGGCUCUCAACUGGGACACUCUUCCUGAGAGCCACAGAAGGGCCCCAGUCACCUUUUCAUCACAUCCUACCCAAGUGCAAACUGGCCAGAGAUCUCAAAGAGACAUAUGACAGUCUCUGCACCACAGGGGUGGUUCGUUUGCACAUCAACAACUGGUUGGAAGUGAGUUUCUGCCUUCCUCACAAAAUCCACUAUGUUGCCACCAACUUCAUACCCCCAGAAGCAAUCGAGAGAAGUCUGAAAUCCAUCAGGCCUUACCAUGCCUUAUUACUUUUAAAUGAUGAGAAGUCAUUGCUUAAUGAGCUCCCGUUGGACUGCUCUCCUGCCCUGGUGAGAGUAAUUAAAACUACCUCUGCUGUGAAGAAUUUGCAGCAACUGGCUCAGGAUGCUGACUUGGCAUUGCUGCAGGUUUUCCAGCUUGCAGCACAUCUUGUUUACUGGGGCAAAGCAAUUAUUAUUUAUCCUCUUUGUGAAAACAAUGUCUACAUGCUUUCUCCAAAUGCCAGUGUCUGCCUGUACUCUCCCCUGGCAGAGGCCUUCUCCUGUCAGUUCCGGGGUCACAACCUGCCCUCCAUGCUGGCCAAGUUCUCCCUGCCCGUGUCCCUGGCUGAGUUCAAGAACCCACUGGCACCACCCGUGCAGGAGACCCAGCUGAUCCAGAUGGUGAUCUGGAUGCUGCAGCACCGGCUGCUGAUCCAGCUGCACACCUACGUGUGCCUGAUGGUGCCCCCGCAGGAGGAGGAGCUCCGAGCCCAGGACGAGGACAUGCCCUUCACUGCCAGGGUGGGGGGACGGAGUCUGAGCACCCCCAACGCCCUCAGCUUUGGCUCUCCAACCAGCAGUGAUGACAUGACUCUGACAAGCCCUAGCAUGGAUAACUCCAGUGCUGAGCUGAUCCCUGGUGGGGACUCACCCCUCAAUAAGAGGAUGACAGAGAAUCUCCUGGCAAGCCUGUUGGAGCACGAGAGGGAAGCCAUCCUGAACGUCCCAGCUGCCCAGAAUCCAGAGGAUCUCCGCAUGUUUGCAAGGCUGCUGCACUACUUCCGCGGGCGGCACCACUUGGAGGAGAUCAUGUACAACGAGAACAUGCGGCGCUCGCAGCUGCUGAUGCUGUUCGACAAGUUCCGCAGCGUGCUGGUGGUCACCAGCCACGAGGACCCCGUCAUCUCCGUCUUCCAGUCGCUCCUCAAGUGACUCUGCUGGCACAGAGGGAGGAGCCUGCCAUGCUCUCCAUGCUGAGAGCCUAAAGGAUGCCUGAAAUCUGCAGGAGGUGGUUUCAGUUCUGUCUAGCCGUGUGACACACAGCAGCUGGUGGCCUGUUGCUUCUCAUCCUGUCUGAGAGCAGCCUGGCUGUCUUCUCCAUCCCCUCCCCUGAGGUAGCUGCAGACAGCAGUGGCACCAUGAAGAUGACUCCCUCAAUCCUUCCCUCAGACUAAACCACAGCACAAUAAACAACUGGAGAAAAACAUCUUGGGUGUGAUUCCUCCCCAGAUUCUCUCUUUCAACACUUCUGCACGUGGGCAAAUGCACAGAAGGGGCAGCUCCAGUUUGUGUAGCUGCAUCAGUGGUGCACAGCCAUGGCACUGACUGCAGGGCUCUGACAGAGCUGGCAGUGACAGCUCUGCCUGGUGUCACUGCUGUGGGACAGGAUGGGGAGGGAGUUUGUAACAAAAAAUGCAAUGAAUUCCAUCACCACAGGGAGCCCUUUAACUGCUCUGCUACAAAACUAAAAACAGGUAUAUAAGGAAAAAUUUCCCCAAGUGUGUAAGAUUUCAAAGAAAUCUUUAUAGAAUUCAAAGGCGAAACAUACAUUGUUUUAAAAAGUAUGACUCUUAAUAUUUUAAUCACCAAGAAUCCCAUCCUGACAAAUGAACCAUGUGCUUUCAUAACCUGAACAGAUGUGGCAGAGCCACUGUAAUGAAGUUCACAUGUGUUCAUCCAGCAGCCUCAGACCCUCAGUUGCACACUCAGGCUCUUCCCCCACACUUUAACGUGGCACUGUUUUUCUGCUUGGCUUGUGUCCAAAGGCCACAACCUGAGCAUUCAUGGUCACACUUACAUUUGCUCUCCACUUAGGAAUACACAAGCUUUUUGACCUUUUUCACUAUUUUAAUGAUAAAGAAGUAAAUUGGGCUUGAGAUUUUUCCUAACAGAGUGAGUAGUUACCUAGGAAAUGCUGCCAUUUAAAGGUGUCUAAUUAAACAAGAGAUUAUUGCAAGGCAAAAACUGUCAUUCUUACAGGACAGGAAAAAAAAGAAAGUUUUCAGUAAUGCUUCUUAAGAAUCUUGGAAUGUGAAGGACAGUUUCAGUAAAUUACAGAAUAAUUUAAUUAGAGCUUGAUUAUUUUUUCUUGAGAAUAAUAAAAGAAGAUUGAAGAUUCUGUAA